AGAAUAAGCAUGUGGAAAGUUACUUCUUCAAAAGCAAAAGUAUCUCAUAUCAUCUCUUCUCCAUUUGUUUCUCCUUAUCCUUGUUGCUAUUUAAGACACAAGGAGAAGGAGAACAAUCAACCGGAAGCCGAAGUUGAACCUCUGAUCCAGGUUGCUUGCUUGGAAGUCUGAUUGCUUACCUUUUCUGUUACCUCUCUCGGCAAAUCUCCUAGCUCGACGACUUGGGGGACUCCUACUACAGGGUUUGUAUCGCACAUGACCAAGCUCGAAAUUACAAGUAAGCUUCAAGUGAAAUUGAUACAUUACCUUAUGCAUCUUCAUCGGUUAAAGAUACCACCCAUGGAUAGAGGAAAAGUACCUCUAGAGAAGAUGCCACAUCUACAUAUGAGACAGAUAAGACAAGUGAAAAUGAUACCACACUUCGGUACUUAGAAGUUUCGUGAUUACUUAAUAGCUUGGAUCUUGUAAGUCCCUAACCGAGGAGCUUCCCUUACUCGGGAGCUUAGGGGAUCACUGUUUGUACCAUACUUGACCAAUCCCAAAACUACUGAGCACCGGUCAAAGUUAUACCGUCAAGGACCCAUAAGUGUUUCCCUCCAACCAGGAGGCCAAUCACAGCGUGACACGUGUCGACAUCAGAAGCCAAUCAUAGCGCGACACGUGUCAACAUCAGAAGUCAAUCACAACACGACAUGUGUCAAUGUCAGAAUGAAACUAGAAACUCUCUUCUAUAAAUAGAGAUCAUUCUCUCAUAAUAUUUCCUAAUGUCAUUUGUACUAAAUCAUUCACUAGUACUCACUAAAGAAGAGUUUGAACAUAUGUACUUGUGUAAACCCUUCACAAUUAAUAAGAACUCCUCUACUCUAUGGACGUAGCCAAUCUGGGUGAACCACAUACAUCUUGUGUUUGCUUCCCUGUCUCUAUCCAUUUGCAUACUUAUCCACACUAGUGACCGGAGCAAUCUAGCGAAGGUCACAAACUUAACACUUUCUGUUAUACCAAAGUCCUCACUGAUUUUGUGCAUCAAUAUUGUACAAAUGAAAGGUAUGGUGACUAUAGAAGCUAAAAAUAAAUAAACAGAAAAUAAAGGAAAAGUGACAAAGAAAAAUAUUAGUUUGUGUCGUUCUCAUUGUAAUAGUCUGUCAUGUGAUAUAUUUUAUACAUUGUAAUAUGAACGAUGAGUAAGUGUUUUGUUUUUUUUGUCAAACAAUAUAUUUGUUAGAUUAGAGAAUUGACGGGGUUCGAAUCCACGUCGUGGUGCAAGGCCACCACUAGUCUCCACUACUGUGGUAGAGUGCCACUUGUGGUCAGUAAGUUAUUAAAUGGUGUGAGAAUUACACCAAAAUAUUCAUUAGUUUUGGAGUAAUGCUAGAGAGACUAAAUUUGUAGACAAAAUUUUAAAAACUAAAAGACAUAAAAGUUAAUGAUUGGUUUAUUACUUAAGUGUUAAUAAACAUGCUUAUUCCUAUUGGUGACACAUUAUUUAGUUUACAAAUUUUGUCUAUAAAUUUAGUCUCUGUGGCAUUACCCUUAGUUUUAGGCUUUGUAAUCAAAAUGGUCUUAGAGAUUGGUACAACUCUUUACUUUGGUCCCAAAUAUUGAAAAUUGAUAGAAGUAAUCCCUGAGUUUGUUCACCGUAAAUCAUUUUGGUGCAUCCGUGAAAAGUCUGUCAACACCAUCUUUAAAUUGUCAUAUGAGCGACCACAAGACAACCUUUUCCAUAGUAUUGUCAAACUAACUCCUUUUAUUAACCAAAAUGGUCGAGUUUGGUAUAACCUCUCAUUUUGAUUACUAACAAUGAAUAUCAAUAGAUGUGGUCCUUGAGUUUGUCUAUCGUAAAUCAUUUUGGUCAUUCUAUGAAAAAUUUAUCAAUAUACUCGUUAAAUUGUCAUGUGAGCGACCGCGUGAUCACCUUUUAAAGGGCAUUUUUACCAAACCAACCCCUCCACUUAACAAGAAUAUUGAUAGAGUUUUCAAGGAAGGAACAAAAUGAUUUACGAUGGUCAAACUCAAUGACCACUUCUAUCAGUUUUCAUUGUUAGGGACUAAAAUAAAGAGUCAUGUCGAUAUCAGGAACUAUUUUGGUUAAAAGGGGUUGGUUUGAUAAAAAAAUACAUUUAAAAGGGUGGUUACAUGGUCGCUCAUGUAACAACUCAAUGAUGAUAUUGAUAGAUUUUUUACUGAAUGAUCAAAAUAAUUUAUGGUGGAUAAAGUCAAAAACCACGUCUAUCGAUUUUGUAAUCUUAGAAACUAAAACGAAGAAUUAUGACAAUCUCAAAAAUCAUAAGUUUAACUAAAAACUCUUCUUGUUAUACAUCAAAAUUAAUGAAUGUGCUUUUGUAGAGGACGUAAAUGUGUCAACGAAUCAGACCUUCACUAGUUAAAACCAUCCCUACUAAUGCUGUUUGAAAAGUAAGUACUAAUAUGAUUAAUGAUUGUACAGAAAAAUAAGUACUAAUAUGAUUAAUGAUUGUACAGAAAAAAAUAUAUUAUCUGAACAGCUCAUCGUGCAUGUUGAUUGAUGUAAAGUGAAUUUUUUUUUUUUUGGUAAACUUGGGAAGGUGGAACUUGGGAAGGAAUUUCACAUUCUUGGGGUGAUCAAUAUAAUGAGAUUGUAAGUCUAGUUAAACAUGCUUAAUUAAACAUUUAAGCAUCUUUUAUUUAUUUGUUUUCAUUCUUUAUUCCUUCUUAAUUUGUUGUAAUUGUUUGGAACAACUAGCAAGACAAAUCUAGCUAGCUAGCAUUCACUGCACAAUGAAAGAUUAUUCGUAUUUGGAAAUGAAUAAUUAGUUAAAACCUGUAUUAUUAGGCAAAUGGGAUCGUAAAUAUUUGUAUCUUAAACCUUCACAGUCAGAGAUAUUCGAGUCAAUUAGUUAAAAGCUAUGAAAAUUGUGAAUGUGACAGACUACGUACUAAAGUCUGGAUUAUUUGAGAGAGAGAGAGACAUGAGUCUCGCAGCCGACUGGUCCCUCAUCUGAGCAGAAAGAACCAUAGAAAGUUAGGCAACCACGCACAUUUUCAAAGAUGUCGAUCAUGAAAAAUAUUUCACAAAUAAAUUCAGGGAAGACUUUCUGUUUAAAUUAUUAACCCAGAAAUAAAGCUCCAUCUCUUGGUAGCUAGCCUUUCUGCUACGUACUCUUGUUGCAUUAAACUAAACCUUAUUAAAGCAAAAAUAAUCACACCUUAGGUGAUAGGUUUAGGGAAAUGGUUAAUGAUUUUAGCAAGUUCUUGUUUAUUUUUUAAUUUUUAAUUUUUUUUUCUUUAAUCAAUUUAAAUGCUAAAAUUAAACAACGAUGUGCACCACAAAUAAGAGGGUGUGUGAAAAUUAUAUCUCUAUAUCUAGAGAAAAUUAUGGCAAUGGUUCUUUAACUUUAAUAAAAUUGAAGUAAUGGUCUCUCAAAUAAAAAUUUAUGAUCAUUGGUCCCUUAAUUCUUUCAAACAUGCAACUAUAGUCAUUUUCAUCAAUUCCAUAAGAACGUCCAUCAAAAUGAGUCACGUUUCAUGCAAUGAGGCUGAAUCGAAGGACAAAUAUGAAAAACCAAAUGAGAAAAAUUGUAGCAGUGGUCUCUCAACUCUAACCCAACUAGAGAAAUAGUCUCUCAACUUUAACUCAAUUAGAGUAAUGAUCCUUCAACCUUAACGUAAUUGUAGCAAUGGUUAUUCAAACAUAACUUAUUUUGACAGAAUUCUAACGGAGUUAACAAAAAAAUCAUAGCUGCACGUUUUGAUGAGUCAAGAGACCAAUGAUCAUGGAUUUUUAGUUGAAGAACAAUUGCUCUAAUUGGGUUAAAGUUGAGAGGCAAUUGCUACAAUCUUCUCCUAUAUUUAUUUAUUAUUAUCUACGUUUACAAUGAACCAUCUACUCCAUGAAGCAAGAUAUUAAAAAAGGACAAGGAUUGUCUGCCCUUCCAUUUUCCAUGCCCUCCUGUUUUGUGUGAUCACAGUUAAGCCACGUUAACAUUUUAUAUAUUUUUUAUAAAGAUAAUAAAACAAAAAUGAAUAGUAAUAUAAAAUAUUGACGUGGCUUAACCGUGACCACACAAACAAGAGGGCAUGGAAGGGCAUGGAAAAAGGAAGGGCAGACAAUCCUUUCCAUUAAAAAAAGGGCAGGGCUUAACAAAAUUCAGUCAAAGGCCUCCUUGAUCCAAACAUUAAUUGAUAAUCUAUUCAAACAGUGGCCCCAUUAGUCUUAUUUUAACAUUAAUCUUAUUUUUUACUAAGGUAAUUAAUAAUUGCAAGUGAAAUUUGGCAUGAUUACCGUGGUGUUAAAGGUAAAGACCAAAGCUAUAUAAAGGGUGAGAAGGCUUAGCUUAAGAGGCAGAAAUCCCAUUCUUAACAAAGAUGGGGAAAAUGGGGCCUUCACAAGUGACCUCUCUUGUGGUCACUAUACUAGUGGCACUAGUCUCUCUCACAUUGCCUUCAGAAACUUCAGCUAACUACCCUUACUCAUCUCCACCACCACCGGCUUCUCCUCCCUACCACUACAAGUCACCACCACCUCCUUCUCCUUCUCCUCCAGUGUACUCACCACCUAAGCAUCCCUACCACCCCAAGUCACCACCACCAUCACCAAAGCCUUACCACUACAAGUCCCCACCACCACCUCCUCCUCCAGUGCACUCACCACCCCCACCAAAGGAGCCUUACCACUACAAGUCUCCACCACCACCACCCAAGAAACCUCACCAUCACAAGUCUCCUCCACCACCACCCAGGAAGCCCUACCACCCGGUGCACUCACCCCCACCACCAAAGAAGCCUUACCAUUACAAGUCUCCUCCACCACCACCCAAGAAGCCCUACCACCCGGUGCACUCACCCCCACCACCAAAGAAGCCUUACCAUUACAAGUCUCCUCCACCACCACCCAAGAAGCCCUACCACCCGGUGCACUCCCCACCACCACCAAAGAAGCCUUACCAUUACAAGUCUCCUCCACCACCACCCAAGAAGCCCUACCACCCGGUGCACUCACCCCCACCACCAAAGAAGCCUUACCAUUACCAAUCCCCACCACCACCACCACCACACAAGAAGCCUCACCACCCAGUUCACUCACCACCUCCACCUAAGAAGCCUUACCACUACACGUCUCCCCCACCACCCCCUCCAGUCCACAAGUCUCCUCCACCACCAGUUCACUCACCACCACCACCACCUAUUAAACCUUACAAGCCACCAACACCUCCAACAGUUCACCCACCACCCGCUUACAUCUAUUCAUCACCCCCACCUCCUCACCACUACUAGAUAUUGAGAGCUUAGUUGCAUCCAGUUGGUAAGCCUCUCCAUUCUAUGUUUUUAGAUCAUAUCCAUACAACUGCAAGCAAUCGCCAAAUAAUUUGACAAAAAACAUCCCUAGCUAUAAAAUUAUAAUACACUAGUGUUUACUUCCUUUUUUGUCUAAUAAUCCAUAUUGGCAUAUGCAAGCUUAAUGCAUUUCCAGCAUAUCGUCAUUACUCAAUUAAAGUUUCUUGAUAUUUAGUAGUACUCAAGUGUAACAAAUAGACCAAUGACAGAGACCUAACAAGUAACAAUAAUAUAUAUAUAUAU
rnacentral:lncRNA from 1 species